CAUUUUCUUAUGCCUCUAAUAAAUAUAAGGUAUAACCUGCCCACUGAAUACAAUCUUAAAAGGCCGCGGUAAUUUGACCGUGCAAAGGUAGCAUAAUAAUUAGCUCUUUAAUUAGGAGCUCGUAUGAAUGGUUUAACAAGCAUUUAUUGUCUUAAAUAUAAAAUGAAAUUAAUUUUUAAGUAAAAAAUCUUAAAUGGUUUUAUUAGACGAUAAGACCCUAAAAAGCUUUUUAGAGAUAGCAAAAAUCUUAAUAAUACAUUAUAGAGAUAACUUGUCUAUUCUAUUUAGUUGGGGUGACUAGAAUUAUCUAUUUUAAACCACUUAAUAUACCUAGCCUAUAUACUAGCCCAAAGGAAUUUUCUAUAGUUUAAUAGUUAAGUUACUUUAGGGAUAACAGCGUAAUGAUCUUAGAGAGCCCAUAUCGAUAAGUAAGUUUGCG
rnacentral:rRNA from 1 species